rnacentral:rRNA from 1 species
AUUGAACGCUGGCGGCAGGCCUAACACAUGCAAGUCGAACGGUAACAGGAAGAAGCUUGCUUCUUUGCUGACGAGUGGCGGACGGGUGAGUAAUGUCUGGGAAACUGCCUGAUGGAGGGGGAUAACUACUGGAAACGGUAGCUAAUACCGCAUAACGUCGCAAGACCAAAAAGGGGGACCUUCGGGCCUCUUUCCAUUGGAUGUGCCCAGAUGGGAUUAGCUAGUAGGUGGGGUAACGGCUCACCUAGGCGACGAUCCCUAGCUGGUCUGAGAGGAUGACCAGCCACGCUGGAACUGAGACACGGUCCAGACUCCGACGGGAGGCAGCAGUGGGGAAUAUUGCACAAUGGGAGCAAGCCUGAUGCAGCCAUGCCGCGUGUAUGAAGAAGGCCUUCGGGUUGUAAAGUACUUUCAGCGGGGAGGAAGGGAGUAAAGUUAAUACCUUUGCUCAUUGACGUUACCCGAAGAAGAAGCGCCGGAUAACUCC